UACGGAGGGUGCAAGCGUUAUCCGGAUUCACUGGGUUUAAAGGGUGCGUAGGCGGGUAUGUAAGUCAGUGGUGAAAUCUCCGAGCUUAACUUGGAAACUGCCAUUGAUACUAUAUAUCUUGAAUGCUCUGGAGGUUUGCGGAAUAUGUCAUGUAGCGGUGAAAUGCAUAGAUAUGACAUAGAACACCUAUUGCGAAGGCAGCAGGCUACAGAGAAAUUGACGCUGAGGCACGAAAGCGUGGGGAUCAAACAGG
rnacentral:rRNA from 1 species